CCUACGGGUGGCAGCAGUGAGGAAUAUUGGUCAAUGGGCGUAAGCCUGAACCAGCCAAGUCGCGUGAGGGAUGAAGGUUCUAUGGAGCGUAAACCUCUUUUAUAAGGGAAUAUAGUGUGGGACGUGUCCUAUUUUGUAUGUACCUUAUGAAUAAGGAUCGGCUAACUCCGUGCCAGCAGCCGCGGUAAUACGGAGGAUCCGAGCUUUAUCCGGAUUUAUUGGGUUUAAAGGGUGCUUAGGCGGCCGUUUAAGUAAGCGGUGAAUGUCUGUGGCUCAACCAUAGAAUUGCCGUUGAAACUGGGGGGCUUGAGUAUGUUUGCGGCAGGAGGAAUGCGUGGUGUAGCGGUGAAAUGCUUAGAUAUCACGCAGAACCCCGAUUGCGAAGGCAGCCUGCCAAGCCAUGACUGACGCUGAUGCACGAAAGCGUGGGGAUCAAACAGGAUUAGAUACCCCAGUAGUC
rnacentral:rRNA from 1 species